CCCUUAGAUGUUCUGGGCCGCACGCGUGCUACACUGAGUGGAUCAGCGGGUCAGGUUGCGCGAAAGUGUUUCCUAAUCUUGAAAUCCGCUCGUGAUGGGGAUUGACGGUUGCAAUUUUCCGUCAUGAACGAGGAAUACCUUGUAAGCGCGGGUCAUCAUCCCGCGCUGAAUACGUCCCUGCCCUUUGUACACACCGCCCGUCGCACCUACCGAUUGAGUGGUCCGGUGAGGCUUUGGGAUCUGAGCGGAAAGAGCGUUUCGCUGUUUCUGCUCGGAAAACUCAGUCGAACCUUAUCAUUUAGAGGAAGGAGAAGUCGUAACA
rnacentral:rRNA from 1 species